rnacentral:lncRNA from 1 species
UUCUUUAUGCUGGAUUUCAUAUCACUUAUCACUAGUCGAACACUUCCCAAGCGUUUAGGACUGAGUGAUGUAUCUUCAGAUUAUGCGAGCAGAUCUCACUUGUCAGUAAAGUAGCUCUUUGAAGUUGACAGAUUGGCAUUGAUAAAAUAUCUAUCGUUUUCAAGUGCCCACUGAGGUUGUUUGGCACUGCGCCCAAUGUGCCAAGAACCACUGGGACCACCUUUACUAGUUUAUGCCAGAGCUGCUGAAAUUCAAUUUUCAAAUCUUCAUAUCUAUUGAGUUUUUCCAGUUGUUUUUCAUUGAUUCUAUUGUCACCUGGGAUAGCAAUAUCAAUAAUCCAUACUUUCUUUUUCUCUACAAUGGUGAUGUCUGGC